GACGAACGCUGGCGGCGUGCCUAAUACAUGCAAGUAGAACGCUGAAGCGAGGAGCUUGCUCUUCUUGGAUGAGUUGCGAACGGGUGAGUAACGCGUAGGUAACCUGCCUUGUAGCGGGGGAUAACUAUUGGAAACGAUAGCUAAUACCGCAUAACAAUGGAUGACACAUGUCAUUUAUUUGAAAGGGGCAAUUGUUCCACUACAAGAUGGACCUGCGUUGUAUUAGCUAGUAGGUGAGGUAAUGGCUCACCUAGGCGACGAUACAUAGCCGACCUGGGAGGGUGGUCGGCCACACUGGGACUGAGACACGGCCCAGACUCCUACGGGAGGCAGCAGUAGGGAAUCUUCGGCAAUGGGGGCAACCCUGACCGAGCAACGCCGCGGGAGUGAAGAAGGUUUUCGGAUCGUAAAGCUCUGUUGUAAGUCAAGAACGGGUGUGAGAGUGGAAAGUUCACACUGUGACGGUAGCUUAACAGAAAGGGACGGCUAACUACGUG
rnacentral:rRNA from 1 species